AACGCUAGCUACAGGCUUAACACAUGCAAGUCGAGGGGCAGCAUGGUCUUAGCUUGCUAAGGCCGAUGGCGACCGGCGCACGGGUGAGUAACACGUAUCCAACCUGCCGUCUACUCUUGGACAGCCUUCUGAAAGGAAGAUUAAUACAAGAUGGCAUCAUGAGUCCGCAUGUUCACAUGAUUAAAGGUAUUCCGGUAGACGAUGGGGAUGCGUUCCAUUAGAUAGUAGGCGGGGUAACGGCCCACCUAGUCUUCGAUGGAUAGGGGUUCUGAGAGGAAGGUCCCCCACAUUGGAACUGAGACACGGUCCAAACUCCUACGGGAGGCAGCAGUGAGGAAUAUUGGUCAAUGGGCGAGAGCCUGAACCAGCCAAGUAGCGUGAAGGAUGACUGCCCUAUGGGUUGUAAACUUCUUUUAUAAAGGAAUAAAGUCGGGUAUGGAUACCCGUUUGCAUGUACUUUAUGAAUAAGGAUCGGCUAACUCCGUGCCAACAGCCGCGGUAAUACGGAGGAUCCGAGCGUUAUCCGGAUUUAUUGGGUUUAAAGGGAGCGUAGAUGGAUGUUUAAGUCAGUUGUGAAAGUCUGCGGCUCAACCGUAAAAUUGCAGUUGAUACUGGAUAUCUUGAGUGCAGUUGAGGCAGGCGGAAUUCGUGGUGUAGCGGUGAAAUGCUUAGAUAUCACGAAGAACUCCGAUUG
rnacentral:rRNA from 1 species